CCAAGGACUGUUUCUCUAAAGUUUUGUCAAAACGCAAGGGCCACCAACUGCCUACAGUAUAUGGCUUUCUCUAUAAUAUUACUUUUGGGAUGUAUGUUCUUCGAUAUGUUAUAAAUAUGGUGAUGCACGUCAAGAGAAAAGAAAAAAGGGAAGAAAAGAGUGAGACAUGGGACAGGAACUCGAUACCGCAAAAGAGCAAAUUAAGAUCAGCAUCAGCAUUUGCAGCAAAAGUGAACCAGAGGUGUGAACAGGUGCAAGAGCAGCUUGAACCCAAAUGCGAACGAUGAAACUAGGAACAAAAACUCUUUUGUACUGCAGAUAUCUGUACUGAUAAAUAAUUGCUUCCUGUCUGUACCACCUUAUAGACUUUUUUACUCUUGGUUCAGGCAAGAUUAUGUGUAUAGUAACAUAAGUUGCCCAUCAAUAAAACAUUUACAUCACAAACAUUG